rnacentral:tRNA from 1 species
GGAAGGCUGGCUGAGUGGUCGAAAGCGCACGUUUGGAGUACGUGUUUACGUUCUGCGUGACUAGGGUUCGAAUCCCUAGCCUUCCG